rnacentral:tRNA from 2 species
CGGCGACAGGGCCUCGGCCAGCGGGCGGUCCUUGUAUUCGGUCUGCAGGAUGAUCGGCGGGUAGCCGGCCUGGUUCGACACCAGGUCGAUGA